rnacentral:rRNA from 1 species
CGAUGUCGGCUCAUCACAUCCUGGGGCUGAAGCAGGUCCCAAGGGUAUGGCUGUUCGCCAUUUAAAGUGGUACGCGAGCUGGGUUUAGAACGUCGUGAGACAGUUCGGUCCCUAUCUGCCGUGGGCGUUGGAAACUUGAGUGGAGCUGCUCCUAGUACGAGAGGACCGGAGUGGACGUACCCCUGGUGGACCGGUUGUUACGCCAGUAGCAUAGCCGGGUAGCUAAGUACGGAAAGGAUAACCGCUGAAAGCAUCUAAGCGGGAAGCCUCUCCCAAGAUGAGAUCUCACUGGGAAUUUAAUUCCCCUGAAGGGCCCUUGAAGACUACAAGGUUGAUAGGCUGGGUGUGGAAGCGCAGUAAUGUGUGAAGCUAACCAGUACUAAUUGCCCGUGCGACUUGACCAU